rnacentral:rRNA from 1 species
AUUGAACGCUGGCGGAAUGCUUUACACAUGCAAGUCGAACGGUAGAGGGGGCAACCCCUCGAGAGUGGCGAACGGGUGAGUAAUAUAUCGGAACGUGCCCAGUCGUGGGGGAUACGUAGCGAAAGUUACGCUAAUACCGCAUACGAUCUAAGGAUGAAAGCGGGGGAUCGCAAGACCUCGCGCGAUUGGAGCGGCCGAUAUCAGAUUAGGUAGUUGGUGGGGUAAAGGCUCACCAAGCCAACGAUCUGUAGCUGGUCUGAGAGGACUACCAGCCACACUGGAACUGAGACACGGUCCAGACUCCUACGGGAGGCAGCAGUGGGGAAUUUUGGACAAUGGACGCAAGUCUGAUCCAGCCAUUCCGCGUGCAGGAUGAAGGCCCUCGGGUUGUAAACUGCUUUUGUACGGAACGAAAAGGUCUCUCUUAAUACGGGGGACUCAUGACGGUACCGUAAGAAUAAGCACCGGCUAACUACGUGCCAGCCGCCGCAGUAACAC